rnacentral:rRNA from 1 species
GAACCUGAGAGUUUGAUCCUGGCUCAGAACGAACGCUGGCGGCAUGCCUAACACAUGCAAGUCGAACGGAGGCUUCGGCCUCAGUGGCGCACGGGUGAGUAACACGUGGGAACCUGCCUUAUGGUUCGGGAUAACGUCUGGAAACGGACGCUAACACCGGAUGUGCCCUUCGGGGGAAAGUUUACGCCGAGAGAGGGGCCCGCGUCCGAUUAGGUAGUUGGCGGGGUAACGGCCCACCAAGCCGACGAUCGGUAGCUGGUCUGAGAG